rnacentral:rRNA from 1 species
UACAGGGGGUGCAAACGUUGCUCGGAAUCAUUGGGCGUAAAGCGCACGUAGGCGGUUUGUUAUGUCGGAUGUGAAAGCCCUUGGCUCAACUGAGGAAGUGCAUCCGAAACUGGCAAGCUAGAGUACUAAAGAGGAUCGCGGAAUUCCCGGUGUAGAGGUGAAAUUCGUAGAUAUCGGGAGGAACACCUGUGGCGAAAGCGGCUCACUGGACCACAACUGACGCUGAGGCGCGAAAGCUAGGGGAGCAACAGG